UACAGAGGGUGCAAGCGUUGUUCGGAAUUAUUGGGCGUAAAGCGCGUGUAGGCGGCUUUGUAAGUCGGGUGUGAAAUCCCUCAGCUCAACUGAGGAAGUGCGCCCGAAACUGCAGAGCUUGAGUACCGGAGAGGAUGGUGGAAUUCCCCAAGUAGAGGUGAAAUUCGUAGAUAUGGGUGAGGAACACCAGUGGCGAAGGCGACCAUCUGGACGGAUACUGACGCUGAGACGCGAAAGCGUGGGUAGCAAACAGGG
rnacentral:rRNA from 1 species